rnacentral:rRNA from 1 species
AACGAACGCUGGCGGCAUGCCUAACACAUGCAAGUCGAACGAGACCUUCGGGUCUAGUGGCGCACGGGUGCGUACCGCGUGGGAACCUGCCCUUAGGUUCGGAAUAACUCCCCGAAAGGGGUGCUAAUAUCGGAUAAUGUCUUCGGACCACAGAUUUAUCGCCUUUGGAUGGGCCCGCGUUGGAUUAGCUAGUUGGUAGGGUAAAAGCCUACCACGGCGACGAUCCAUAGCUGGUCAGAGAGGAUGAGCAGCGACACUGGGACUGAGACACGGCCCAGACUCCUACGGGAGGCAGCAGUGGGUGAUAUUGGACAAUGGGCGGAAGCCUGAUCCAGCAAUGCCGCGUGAGUGAUGAAGGCCUUAGGGUUGUAAAGCUCGUUUACCCGUGAUGAUAAUGACAGUACCGUAAGAAUAAGCUCCGGCUAACUCCGUG